UGUAGUUACUACUAAGUAGUUUAAAUUUCUAGGUAGAAUUAUGAUGAUGACAUUAUCUAUCUAUAAGUCUUGACCAAAUUACGUGCCAGCAGUCGCGGUAAGACGUAGAAGACAAGCGUUAUUCAUCUUUAUUAGGUUUAAAGAGUACCAAGACGGUUAAUAAAGCCCAAAAUACAUGAGCACUGGGGACACAUUAACUAGAGUUAUAUGAAAGGAAGCAUUAAAGUACUGUUGAGUGUAGAGAUAAAAUUCAGUCAUACCAGAUUAAAGGCACAGAUUUAUGCGAAGGCAUCUUCUUAUGUAAUAACUGACGUUGUAGGACGAAGGCUUUUGGAGUGAAGAGGAUUAGAUACCCUUGUAAUCUAAGCAGAAAAUGAUGAAUGUCAUAGGUUUAAUAUAUACACCACAAAAAAAAUGGUCGUUGUAUUAUUGGGUCUAUAAAUGAAAGUGUAAGCAUUCCACCUCAAGAGUAAUUUGGCAACAUUGGAACUGAAAUCAUUAGACCGUUUCUGAAACCAGUAGUGAAGUAUGUUGUUUAAUUAGAUGAUACACAAAAAACCUUACCACAAUUUGAAUAUAUAUCAUUAAUGAUAUUUACAAGCGUUGCACGGCUGUCUUCAGUUAAUGUCGUGAGAUUUUGGUUAGCUCCAUAAAAUUAACGUAAACCCUAGUUUUAUUUAUAAAUAAAAUU
rnacentral:rRNA from 1 species